rnacentral:rRNA from 1 species
UACGUAGGUGGCAAGCGUUGUCCGGAUUUACUGGGCGUAAAGAGCGCGCAGGCGGUCGUUCAAGUCGCGUGUGAAAGCCCCCGGCUCAACUGGGGAGGGUCACGCGAUACUGAUCGACUCGAAGGCAGGAGAGGGAAGUGGAAUUCCCGGUGUAGUGGUGAAAUUCGUAGAUAUUGGGGAAGAAACACCCGGUGGGCGAAGGGCGGGCGACCUGGUCCUUGACUGACGCUGAGGCGCGAAAGCGUGGGGAGCAAACAGGAUUGAGAA